rnacentral:rRNA from 1 species
UACGUAGGGUGCAAGCGUUGUCCGGAAUUAUUGGGCGUAAAGAGCUCGUAGGCGGUUCUCCAAGUCCGUUGUGAAAGCCCCGGGCUCAACCUGGGAAUGGCAGUGGAAACUAGGGGACUGGAAUCUGGCAGAGGGGGGUGGAAUGCCGCGUGUAGCAGUGAAAUGCGUAGAGAUGCGGCGGAACACCGAUGGCGAAGGCAGCCCCCUGGGCUGAGAUUGACGCUCAGGCACGAAAGCGUGGGGAGCAAACAGG